AUUUCUAUAUUUAUAGUUUAAAAAAACAGUAUUUUUUCAAAAUAAAAUUUUAAUUUUUUUAAUAA
rnacentral:tRNA from 1 species